rnacentral:rRNA from 1 species
UGGGGAAUAUUGCACAAUGGGCGCAAGCCUGAUGCAGCAACGCCGCGUGAACGAUGAAGGUCUUCGGAUCGUAAAGUUCUGUUGCAGGGGAAGAUAAUGACGGUACCCUGUGAGGAAGCCCCGGCUAACUACGUGCCAGCAGCCGCGGUAAUACGUAGGGGGCUAGCGUUAUCUGGAUUUACUGGGCGUAAAGGGUGCGUAGGUGGUCUUUCAAGUCGGUGGUGAAAGGCUACGGCUCAACCGUAGUUAGCCUCCGAAACUGGAAGACUUGAGUGCAGGAGAGGAAAGUGGAAUUCCCAGUGUAGCGGUGAAAUGCGUAGAUAUUGGGAGGAACACCAGUAGCGAAGGCGGCUUUCUGGACUGCAACUGACACUGAGGCACGAAAGCGUGGGUAGCAAACAGG